rnacentral:rRNA from 1 species
UUUUAUUAACAUAUCUGCUUGUGCGUAACCAAUCUUGUCUUAUCUCGGAAGCUAAGCAAGGUCAGGCAUGGUUAGUACUUGAUGGGAGACCUCUGGGAACACCAGGUGCCACAGUGGCCC